GACGAACGCUGGCGGCGUGCCUAAUACAUGCAAGUUGAGCGCUGAAGGUUGGUACUUGUACCAACUGGAUGAGCAGCGAACGGGUGAGUAACGCGUGGGGAAUCUGCCUUUGAGCGGGGGACAACAUUUGGAAACGAAUGCUAAUACCGCAUAAAAACUUUAAACACAAGUUUUAAGUUUGAAAGAUGCAAUUGCAUCACUCAAAGAUGAUCCCGCGUUGUAUUAGCUAGUUGGUGAGGUAAAGGCUCACCAAGGCGAUGAUACAUAGCCGACCUGAGAGGGGGAUCGGCCACAUUGGGACUGAGACACGGCCCAAACGCCUACGGGAGGCAGCAGUAGGGAAUCUUCGGCAAUGGACGAAAGUCUGACCGAGCAACGCCGCGUGAGUGAAGAAGGUUGUCGGAUCGUAAAAAUCUGUUGGUAGAGAAGAACGUUGGUGAGAGUGGAAAGCUCAUCAAGUGACGGUAACUACACAGAAAGGGACGGCUAACUACGUG
rnacentral:rRNA from 1 species